rnacentral:rRNA from 1 species
UACGGAGGGGACUAGCGUUGUUCGGAAUUACUGGGCGUAAAGCGCACGUAGGCGGCUCUGUAAGUCAGGGGUGAAAUCCCGGGGCUCAACCUCGGAACUGCCUUUGAUACUGCAAAUCUCGAGUCCGGAAGAGGUGAGUGGAAUUCCUAGUGUAGAGGUGAAAUGCGUAGAUAUCUGGAGGAACACCGGUGGCGAAGGCGGCAUCCUGGACCGAGAUUGACGCUGAGGCGCGAAAGCCAGGGGAGCAAACGGG